rnacentral:rRNA from 1 species
CCUACGGGAGGCAGCAGUCGGGAAUAUUGCGCAAUGGAGGAAACUCUGACGCAGUGACGCCGCGUGCAGGAAGAAGGUUUUUGGGUUGUAAACUGCUUUAGACAGGGAAGAAAAAAGACAGUACCUGUAGAAUCAACUGCGGCAAACUACGGGCCAGCAGCCGAGGUCAUACGUAGGGAGCAAGCGGUAUCAGGUUUGAUUGGGUUGAAAGGGUGCGUAGCCGGAGAAGCAAGUGAGUGUUGAAAUCCCUCGGCGUACCUGAUGAACUGCAACUAAGACUACUUCCCUUGAGUACUGGAGAGGAGAGUGGAAUGCCUGGUGUAGCGGUGAAAUGCGUAGAUAUUAGGAGGAACACCAGUGGCGAAGGCGACUUUC